CUACGCAUAGCGGAUGUGAACUACGGAUGAUCAACUGAAUGACCCUGAACACCUACCUACGUCAGUCAUAACCCCACCGUGUCCUCGAUCGGAGAAAGAACUCACGAAAGAGACAGUCACGGUUACGCACACAGUUGGCAUAUUAUAAUUAAGUUAACUUCAAGUUAUCUAGAACCAGUGUUAAACAAAGUAUCCACGUA
rnacentral:lncRNA from 1 species